AAUAAGUACAGUUUUGCACUAUUCACAGUCAACGUUUCACCGUUCAUCUUAUUUGAAAUUUUUUUUAUUAGUAUUUUCAUUGCUAUUAGAUGAUAAAUAGUACUUUAUGUAUGACUAAAUAUUUUCAAUUUUUUCAAAUAAGACGGAUGGUCAAACGUUGGGUACGGAUAUCCAUGGCUGCACUUAUU
rfam:Oryza glaberrima chromosome 2 Oglab02_0015_12, whole genome shotgun sequence.